AGAGGCUGUAACAUUAGAUGGGAACCAGAUAAGGAAAACACAAGUCAUCUUCAAAAGUGGAGCCUUCAUCCUAACAUGAUGAAGAGUCAUUGAAGACCACAUUUUCCUUCAACAAAGAGGCCCUUCACACAAGCUGCUGCUUCUCUCUGGAAGAUCAUCCCUAUGACUCUUAACUGGUUAGUUCCUAUUCGUCACUGAAGACUCCACCCAAAUACGGCUUGGGAGAGCGCCUCUCUGCUAUGCCAGAGGUCCACUCCUGUCAAACAACCCAGUAACAUUUAAAACAAUUUCUAAUUGUCUGUG